AGUAACGCGUGAGGAACCUGCCUCAAAGAGGGGGACAACAAGUUGGAAACGACUGCUAAUACCGCAUAAGCCCACAGCUCGGCAUCGAGCAGAGGGAAAAGGAGUGAUCCGCUUUGAGAUGGCCUCGCGUCCGAUUAGCUAGUUGGUGAGGUAAUGGCCCACCAAGGCGACGAUCGGUAGCCGGACUGAGAGGUUGAACGGCCACAUUGGGACUGAGACACGGCCCAG
rnacentral:rRNA from 1 species